rnacentral:rRNA from 1 species
AUUCGCGGCCUAUCAGCUUGUUGGUGGGGUAAUGGCUCACCAAGGCGACGACGGGUAGCCGGCCUGAGAGGGUGACCGGCCACACUGGGACUGAGACACGGCCCAGACUCCUACGGGAGGCAGCAGUGGGGAAUAUUGCACAAUGGGCGGAAGCCUGAUGCAGCGACGCCGCGUGGGGGAUGACGGCCUUCGGGUUGUAAACCUCUUUCAGUAGGGAAGAAGCGAGAGUGACGGUACCUGCAGAAGAAGCGCCGGCUAACUACGUGCCAGCAGCCGCGGUAAUACGUAGGGCGCAAGCGUUGUCCGGAAUUAUUGGGCGUAAAGAGCUCGUAGGCGGUUUGUCGCGUCUGCUGUGAAAUCCCGAGGCUCAACCUCGGGUCUGCAGUGGGUACGGGCAGACUAGAGUGCAGUAGGGGAGACUGGAAUUCCUGGUGUAGCGGUGAAAUGCGCAGAUACCAGGAGGAACACCGAUGGCGAAGGCAGGUCUCUGGGCUGUUGCUGACGCUGAGGAGCGAAAGCAUGGGGAGCGAACAGGAUUAGAUACCCUGGUAGUCCAUGCCGUAAACGUUGGGCACUAGGUGUGGGGGACAUUCCACGUUUUCCGCGCCGUAGCUAACGCAUUAAGUGCCCCGC